UGAAUUUAAUGCAGGUGCAGACACAAGCCUCGCAUAAGGGAGCAAUUUUCUGAUUCAUUCAUGUAAGACCCUGAGGGAGAGUUGGAACAAGAUGUACAAAGGGCCCUGCAUCAACAGCAAUUCAUUGAUCCUCCUGGAACCUUCUUCACUGAUGAAAAAGCUAAAGACUGGAUGGAAAUCUACAGCAGAUCCAGAAAUAAAUCAACGCCUUUUUAUUUUGGUCCAGUUCCCUGACAACACUUUCUCUUCUUACUCCUUGUAAAGGAGCAUGUUUUGCAGCAUUUUUAUUAUUGCAGCACUUUUGUAACUCAAACAUUGUUACUUGUUCUUCUGGCCCUGUAGAUUUAUGAAAUUAAUUGGUCCCUGCCUUCCUUUCUGUAUCUUUAGAGAGAUUUUAUAGCUGCCCUCAGCUCUUCACCAGGCUGAACUUCCCCAUUCCCUUAGGCUUUUCUCACAUAGCAAGUUACACAGACGUCUCACUCUUGCUACUCUCCUGAGCUCUCUCCACAGCCUCCAUCACCGAAGAGGCUCAGCACCCAUCUCAUGUUCCUGUUUCUACUACAGAGAAGGAUUUGGAGAUGUUCUCACUAUGGAGCAGAUUUGAAGGAGACUUCCAGAAGCCAACAGCUGCAUUGGGCCACCGAAAUCGCAAAGGAAAAGAAAAAGAAAACAAAAAGAAAAAGAAUGUGGUGCAUUAAUGAAGUUCUGUUUGGGUUUCUGACGAGGUCUCUUGUGUCAGACCCAUCCCUGCUGCUGGCCUGCACACUUCGGGAAGGAGCGCUAAGGGUACACACAAAGACAGAAAGCCACACCAACAAAAUCCUCCCCACCUAAUGCCACUGCCCUGAUUAAUGUGUUCUGCCUCCAAAGAGGUGAACUCUGCCAUCCAGAUCCAGCUCCAAGGGGGGCUGAGCCUGCAUGGGGAUGGAUGCCUUGGAUGAGGCAAGGGGUGAUGGUUUCUAUGCUGGGUGGGAUCAGUCUCCUGGAGGAUGGUUGCUGCAGACAAAGCAGCUGUGGAGGGAGGCUGAAAACUGGGGGGCUUCAGUCCCAGUAAAUGCAGUCACUCACUGCUCUAUCUCCGAAGUAACAGAUGUGUCACAUUCUUAAAAUGAUGCUAAAAAUCUCAUUUCAUAUAAUUUUUGAGUUGUAUCAGAAUCAAGAUUACUUUAAUAAAGCAACAGACCAAUGUUCCUCUGUACUAUGA
rnacentral:lncRNA from 1 species